GGGGAUGUAGCUCAGUUGGCAGAGUGGUUGCCUGGUAUGCACAAGGCCCUGGGUUCAAUCCCCAGCAUUACAC
rfam:Ictidomys tridecemlineatus contig030881, whole genome shotgun sequence.